CGCCNAGUCUUACCCCAACCUUUUGGAAGGGGGAGGCCUAAGGUAGGACGGGUGACGGGGGUGAAUUCGUACCAAGGUACCCUUACCGAAAGGGGUGGCUGGAUCACCUCCUUUU
rnacentral:rRNA from 1 species